rnacentral:tRNA from 1 species
AAGGGUAUAGCUCAGUGGUAGAGUGAGUGCUUAGCAUGCACGAGGUACUGGGUUCAAUCCCCAAUAUCUCCA